AUGACUUCCUCAGCCGGCGUCGCCCUGAACCUCGGUUCGCCUCCGUCAGAGAAACUUGCGAGAGGGAACUUCAUCCUCUGGAAGACGCAGGUUCUCCCAGCCCUGCGAGGUGCGCAGGUCACCGGGCUGCUCGACAACUCCGACGCCGCUCCGCCCAAGAUGGUGGAGGUCACAAAGGCAGACAAAACUACGGCCCAAGAGCCGAACCCUCUGUAUGGACCUUGGAUCGCCAAAGAUCAACAGGUUCUGUCAUAUCUGCUCAACUCCAUGUCUCCUGAGAUCCUUGCACAGGUCGUCGGGAGGGACUCCACCUUCGAGCUUUGGGCAACAAUCAACAAUCUCUUCGCCUCACAAUCGCAGUCUCGGAUUAUCAAUCUGAGGAUUGCGAUCACCAACACCAAGAAAGGCACCAUGUCAAGUUCAGCAUACAUGGCGAAGAUGAAGAGUCUCGGGGAUGAACUAGCUGCUGCUGGUCGUCCCGUCUCUGAUCCGGAGAUGGUGGACUACAUACUUGCAGGUCUGGAUCGCGACUACGACUCCGUGGUGGCGGCAAUCGGCGCUGUCAAGAACAGCAUCACCGCCGAUGAUCUUUUUGCCCAGAUCUCUGCCUUUGAUCAAAGGAUGGAGAUGUUGGGCGACUCUUCCUCAGGCGGGUUUCAUACAUCCGCCAAUGCAGUCUACAGAGGCCGUGGCUCAUCUUGCGGCAGACCCUAUCGCGGGCAAGGAGGAAGGGGGCGCGGCCGCAGUGGUGACCGCGGUGACCGCGGUGACCGCCAGCCCUCUCCCUCUAAUGGCAGCGGCGGCUUCAGAGGACGUCCUCGGCAGCAGCAACAGCAGCAGGUGCGUGAGCAGCAUGACUUCCCAGAGUGUCAGAUAUGCCUCAAGCACCAUCCAGGAGGUGCACGUGUAUGCUGGUUUCGCUAUGAAGAGAAUGAUCAAGAAGAAAAGGAGGCGCAUGCAGUCUCCUAUGGUGUGGACACAAAUUGGUAUGCUGACAGUGCAGCAACUAAUCACAUCACGGGUGAACUCGACAAGUUGACGAUGCGGGAGAAGUACAAUGGAGGUGAUCAAAUCCGCACGGCAAGCGGUUCUGGUAUGAAUAUUAUGCAUAUUGGUAGUUCAAUCGUUAAAAACCCCAUGAAAAACUUGCACUUAAAAGAUGUCUUGCAUAUUCCAGAAACUUCCAAAAAUCUUGUUUCCGUCCAUCGUUUCACUCUUGAUAACAAUGUUCUCAUAGAAUUCUAUCCUUAUUUUUUCUUGGUCAAGGACUUGGCAACAAGGAGAAUCAUUCUUAGAGGCCGGUGCGUCGGAGGUCUCUACCCACUCAUAUCGUCAUCAUCUUCGCGGUCAUAUAAACAAGCAAAUAUUGUCACCAAGCCUUCAUCUUCAAGGUGGCACAGUCGUUUGGGUCACCCAUCUUCAGUCAUAGUUAAAUAUAUUCUUAGCAAAAAUAAACUCUCUUAUGAGCCUAGUGUUGAGUCAGUUUGUGAUCCGUGUCAACAAGCAAAAAGUCGUCAAUUGCCUUACCCUAUUUCUGUUAGUGCAUCUACCUCUCCUUUACAACUCAUAUUUUCAGACGUAUGGGGACCGGCCCCUACGUCAGUUGGA
rnacentral:rRNA from 1 species